ACCGAAAGACGAUUAAUUUCGUUUUUUAGUCAUAAAAAAACCUGCCAGCGAUGGCAGGUUUUUUUUUGCC
rnacentral:ncRNA from 17 species